rnacentral:lncRNA from 1 species
GGUGUUUGCAGCUGUGGUAUUUGCUGUCUCAUCUGAGAUUUUAAAAUCAGUCAAUUAGCAAUCCAAAAAAAGAGAUGAGGAUUGGCAUAUUGAUUAUGAUAUCUUACCUUGUUAACAUUACAGCUAGCAGUCGGCCAGAGCUCUUGGUUUUGCAAUUCCCCGAAGAUGCCAGUGUGCUCCUUAACUCCACUGUGUGGAUGCUCUGUGUCUUUGAAUACCCCAAGGCGGAGAAUGAGGAGCCAGUUGUGUACUGGAGGAAGGGCCCCAGCUGUGACAACCAGCAGAGUCUUCGGUCAAGUUCAGGAGCAGGAAGGCCACACAUACACAUUACCAAGGACAUAUUCAGGGGAUUCUCUAUCUUAAAACUGAGCAAUGUUGACAAGAAUGACAGCAACUCAUAUUUCUGUGAUGUGAUAUUAACCCAGAAAACCCACGGCAAAUGUGGAAAUGGAACCAAGCUGACAGUGCACGAUUUCACAUGCAAAGACUGUAUAAGAUCAGAACUGACCUGGUGGUUUUGGUUCCUUCUUCUUGGAUACACUCUCUUUGUCACCACAGUUAUCGUAGCUUUUGGUAUUCAUCACUGCUGUAAAAAGUGCAAGAACAAUUCAAGAAAUACAGAUAGCAGCACUACCCUGCCAAGUGAAUGGAUUUAUGAGAAGCCAUCCAAACCCAUUAAUAAUGUGUCUAACCAAGAAUAUGAAGAUAUGUCACUAAUAAGAACUUUCAGUCACAUUGAAAGGAAAGUGAUAUGAAGAACAAGCCUCACAGUUUUAACCAUAAUGCUAUGAGCAUGUGAAUGUAGUGUACUACUUCAGGAAGAAACUUACACACAAGUCAUUUCGUGAACUUGGAAUCUUCUUUGUUCAAGAUUUUUUCAUCUAUUCAUGUAUUUACUUCAAAACAAAUGAAAUUAAUGCUCUAUGCAUCUACAAAUGCAAUGAUAUUUAGUGUGCACAGCUACCACCUAAAUACUGUUAAAGCUAAAGGUAUUAAUACUUCAAUGCCAAAAUGCUGAUCAUGUAUGCUGAUAUAUAUAUUUUUUUCAUUUCAAACUCAAGGACACAUUUGGAAUUUUGUUUUAUCUGGGUUAAGACAGCUUCUUUGCUUCAUCAAAGCAACGACAAAUUCAGUACUACAGUACUCGUCUGCUGCUGAGAUAAAUUUUAAAAAAAGAUUUUGUCAUAGAGGCAUUUCUCACGUGCUCUUGAUGUACUGCCUGACCUUAUUUCCAGCUCCUUAUCCUGCCCUCAUAUUUAUAUAUCCCUGCAACUUCUUCUACUUUUGGCUGUGUAGUCAGCUAUGCUACUGAUAUAGUGCACAUUUGUACAUGCCUCUCUCAAAAGAAUGAAAAUACUGAAUAUGUUUUUAAUAGUUAUAAUUUCUGAAGAAAACAUAAUAAUUACUGAUGAAGAGCUUGUCUUUGUUGUCCUUCUUCUGGCAUAUCUAACAUUAUAAUGUAAGCUAUUUGGAUUAAAAAUAUCUAUAAAAGUUGUUUUAAAGUACUUAGG